rnacentral:sRNA from 1 species
UGUCAUGAAUAGGCGUGAUGUUUGCAA